rnacentral:rRNA from 1 species
UACGAAGGGGGCUAGCGUUGCUCGGAAUCACUGGGCGUAAAGGGUGCGUAGGCGGGUCUUUAAGUCAGGGGUGAAAUCCCGGGGCUCAACCCCGGAACUGCCUUUGAUACUGGUAGUCUCGAGUCCGGAAGAGGUGAGUGGAAUUCCCAGUGUAGCGGUGAAAUGCGUAGAUAUUGGGAGGAACACCAGUGGCGAAGGCGGCUCACUGGACCGGAACUGACGCUGAGGCGCGAAAGCGUGGGGAGCAAACAGG